rnacentral:snoRNA from 1 species
AUGGGACUUUUAUCUCCGGGUACAUGCCAUCAUCUAGGUGUAAUCGGUAAACGAAUCCCAAAUAUCAAAACAUUUAGCGUCAUCUUGCAGAAGGGUUAACACGAAUUAAAUUCUACGUGUUAGCUAUCCUUUUGAAGAUGACUCACAUUC